CAGCAGGGACUCAACACUACUGUCCACUCAAUUCCAACGGAUUCCUGUGCUGACCCCAUCCCCUCACCUGGGCUCCGGCUCCUCCCAAAGCCAGCAGGAACCCUGAGGUGGGGACUGGAGAGCCAUAUGCUGAAAAACCCUUCCAGGGGCAACAGUCCCCAGCACAUGCAGCAGUCAGUCCCCAGAGCCACAGAACAGAGUUUUCGGAUUCGCAAAUGCAAUAUAACAUUCUUAGGUCUUGAAAUCUAUAACAUGAAAUUAGCCAAUACUGUCAUACACUGACUGACCAUCUGUAGAGUCUGCUCGUUACUUGACGUUCUCUGCCCUCCCACAGGUGCACACAGUAUUUCAGGAACUCAUUAGUCUUUUGUUUUCAAGACUUAGUGAUAAGCAGAGUUUUAUAGAAAUCUUUAAAAAUUUAUUUCAAAGACUUCAAGUGAGAGAAGAAGAACAGUGACAUGUGAAAUAGUAAGGCAGGAACACGCGCAGAGGGUUCCCACAAAGUAACUAACCCACUUCGUUAUCUGUUUUCCCCAGAACAAAACUAAAAUGUCUUCCCCCUUUUACAGUCUCUUCUUUCUGGAAACCUUGUGCUGCAUUGGAAGAAGGGAUGACAUCAGACACAUGGUACAGGGGAAGACUCGCAGCAGCAGCCCAGUGACUUCCUGUUCCCGCUCUCCCCAGGGAAUCGCUAACUAGCUGGUUCAGCCUCAGCAGACUCGUGGAGUCAGAAACCACAUCACCAGAAUCAGGGACAGGUUCGGUUUAACUGAGCAUCAGUACUAACAGAAGACACAAAAUGUUCUCUACAGAACUGAAUUCCUCCCUGACAGUGAGCAGGGGGGGCACAGUGAAGCAGCCUGCUGGUUUCUCUGUGGGGAACAAGUCCUCCAAGCUGACUGACUGGAACUCGUCUUGUCUAAGUGCAGACACAGACCAUAUAUGAACAUCACCCACCUUAGCAGAGCUGCUGAGACUGAACCCUCCACCCAGCUGUGGGAUGCUGGAUAGGACUGUCAUAAGAAGGGCCAUGAGGUGGGGCCACCCCCAGAGGGAGAGCUUCCCUUGGCCAGGUCUUCUCCCAGACCCUCUGCCCAGAGAGCAAGCUGUGCAGUGGACCUGCCCCUCAUGGGCGUAUUCCUGUUGGACCUGCCACUCAGGUUGGUGAAACCUGAGACUCAAAUGCUUCUUUAACAGGCCAGGAAUGAACAAGUUCCUCACAGAAGGGCUGUCGGGAGCCACAGGGCAUGGCACACAGCACCAACAUUGCUGGGCAGCUGCGGGGUUUGCCUGUUGAUAAGCAGAGACCAUGUUUGCCGGUGCUGCAAGAGUUCUGAGCUUGUCCACGUGAGCCCCACACUGUGCCUGACUGGACUCUCACUCAGCCCUUGCCCACUGGACAGAAACGAUGCAACAGCCUUGGCCUCACUUCCGUUGAUGGGCUGGAUGGGGACCCACAGGCCACCGAGUCCCUAGACAUGUUGGAGGUGUAGGCAGCCGAGCAUGUAAGAUUCCCACAGUGGGAAUGGCUGCCCAGCAGGCACUGCAGUCCAAAGGAAAUCCACCCAAAGGCGGGGGAGUCGGGCUCCAGUGUCAGUGUCCCCUGCAGUCUGCUUGACUGAACAGCUGUCAUUGCACAAAUAAAGUUGUAUGGUUAAUGUUAAUGUUAGAAAAGUUAGUAUUUACACUUACAUGUUUGUGCAGAAGUGUCAUAUUUACGCCUAAAUAUAAUAUCAAUAAUGGAUGCCGAGGAGGUGAGAAAAUGCAUGUUGCUCCAUUGGGGGAUUCGUCUAGACAUGUGUUAAAGCUCCAAAGGCAAGUCUGACCAGGAAUUCCAUCUCUGGGAAUCAGCCCUAGAAGGUUCAGCACACCACAGAGAGAGGGACAUGGAGGGUAGUCAAUAGAGUUGGGUGAGAGAAAAUACCAGAAUGUUCCCUGUAGAUAGCUGUCUUUGUGUCUGCAGAAGGGAAGAAUCUUUUCUGAAUCAGAUGUGAGGGAGGAUCUUGAGAAAUUCAUGAGGGGGUGAUAUCUGGAACUGGGUUCUGGAAAUUCAGGGUCUCUUAGGGAAAGUCAAUGUUUGUUAAGAGUCAAUACUUAAGAUGCUGGGGGAGGUCAGCAAAGGAGUCUUAAGGGAUCCUGCAGGGAUCAGUAUUUGGAAGACUGUGUCUCGUAAGUGGGAAGAAAUUAGCCUGGCAAAACAGGGUUACAUCAGUCACUCACACAGGCUUCCUGUUGGACCUUGGCAAGCAGGUGUUUGGCGGGUACGAGGAAGUCCAGCGUGUACCUCAGUGCAUCCUCCCGGUAAGUCC